GGGCCCUUGGCACAGUUGGUCUUCGCACUUGUAAGGCAUUGCGUCAAGUCGUGGGUUCGACUCCCACAGUGUCCA